rnacentral:rRNA from 1 species
ACUAAGCGUACACGGUGGAUGCCCUGGCAGUCAGAGGCGAUGAAGGGCGUGCUAAUCUGCGAUAAGCGCCGGUAAGGUGAUAUGAACCGUUAUAACCGGCGAUACCCGAAUGGGGAAACCCAGUGUGAUUCGUCACACUAUCAUUAACUGAAUCCAUAGGUUAAUGAGGCGAACCGGGGGAACUGAAACAUCUAAGUACCCCGAGGAAAAGAAAUCAACCGAGAUUCCCCCAGUAGCGGCGAGCGAACGGGGAGGAGCCCAGAGCCUGAAUCAGCAUGUGUGUUAGUGGAAGCGUCUGGAAAGGCGCGCGAUACAGGGUGACAGCCCCGUACACAAAAGCGCAUGUGUUGUGAGCUCGAUGAGUAGGGCGGGACACGUGGUAUCCUGUCUGAAUAUGGGGGGACCAUCCUCCAAGGCUAAAUACUCCUGACUGACCGAUAGUGAACCAGUACCGUGAGGGAAAGGCGAAAAGAACCCCGGCGAGGGGAGUGAAAAAGAACCUGAAACCGUGUACGUACAAGCAGUGGGAGCUGAGGGAAAGGCGAAAAGAACCCCGGCGAGGGGAGUGAAAAAGAACCUGAAACCGUGUACGUACAAGCAGUGGGAGCCCCACCACUAAGCCAGUGGUGAACUCCACAUACGCAUCCUUUGCUGAGGAUACGGUUAACGGAGCGCAAGCGACGUUCAACCGCAAAAGAAGCAGAGGGGGCUUAGUGGUGGGGUGACUGCGUACCUUUUGUAUAAUGGGUCAGCGACUUAUAUUCUGUAGCAAGGUUAACCGUAUAGGGGAGCCGGAGGGAAACCGAGUCUUAAUUGGGCGUUAAGUUGCAGGGUAUAGACCCGAAACCCGGUGAUCUAGCCAUGGGCAGGUUNAGGGAAACCGAGUCUUAACCGGGCGUUAAGUUGCAGGGUAUAGACCCGAAACCCGGUGAUCUAGCCAUGGGCAGGUUGAAGGUUGGGUAACACUAACUGGAGGACCGAACCGACUAAUGUUGAAAAAUUAGCGGAUGACCUGUGGCUGGGGGUGAAAGGCCAAUCAAACCGGGAGAUAGCUGGUUCUCCCCGAAAGCUAUUUAGGUAGCGCCUCGUGAAUUCAUCUCCGGGGGUAGAGCACUGUUUCGGCUAGGGGGCCAUCCCGGCUUACCAACCCGAUGCAAACUGCGAAUACCGGAGAAUGUUAUCACGGGAGACACACGGCGGGUGCUAACGUCCGUCGUGAAGAGGGAAACAACCCAGACCGCCAGCUAAGGUCCCAAAGUCAUGGUUAAGUGGGAAACGAUGUGGGAAGGCCCAGACAGCCAGGAUGUUGGCUUAGAAGCAGCCAUCAUUUAAAGAAAGCGUAAUAGCUCACUGGUCGAGUCGGCCUGCGCGGAAGAUGUAACGGGGCUAAACCAUGCACCGAAGCUGCGGCAGCGAGUAAUAGCUCACUGGUCGAGUCGGCCUGCGCGGAAGAUGUAACGGGGCUAAACCAUGCACCGAAGCUGCGGCAGCGAACGUAUCACUUAAAGCGAUUCAGCGGGUUACGAUUGACGGAGCGAAGCGACGUCAAAGCGUAUACAAAGUCGAGUCGGUUUAAGGAUACGUUCGUUGGGUAGGGGAGCGUUCUGUAAGCCUGUGAAGGUGUGUCGUGAGGCAUGCUGGAGGUAUCAGAAGUGCGAAUGCUNGUUGGGUAGGGGAGCGUUCUGUAAGCCUGUGAAGGUGGCCUGUGAGGGUUGCUGGAGGUAUCAGAAGUGCGAAUGCUGACAUAAGUAACGAUAAAGCGGGUGAAAAGCCCGCUCGCCGGAAGACCAAGGGUUCCUGUCCAACGUUAAUCGGGGCAGGGUGAGUCGACCCCUAAGGCGAGGCCGAAAGGCGUAGUCGAUGGGAAACGGGUUAAUAUUCCCGUACUUGGUGUUACUGCGAAGGGGGGACGGAGAAGGCUAUGUUGGCCGGGCGACGGUUGUCCCGGUUUAAGCGUGUAGGUGUGUGUUCCAGGUAAAUCCGGUUCACUUUAACACUGAGGCGUGAUGACGAGGCACUACGGUGCUGAAGCAACAAAUGCCCUGCUUCCAGGAAAAGCCUCUAAGCAUCAGGUAACAUCAAAUCGUACCCCAAACCGACACAGGUGGUCAGGUAGAGAAUACCAAGGCGCUUGAGAGAACUCGGGUGAAGGAACUAGGCAAAAUGGUGCCGUAACUUCGGGAGAAGGCACGCUGACAUGUAGGUGAAGUGAUUUACUCAUGGAGCUGAAGUCAGUCGAAGAUACCAGCUGGCUGCAACUGUUUAUUAAAAACACAGCACUGUGCAAACACGAAAGUGGACGUAUACGGUGUGACGCCUGCCCGGUGCCGGAAGGUUAAUUGAUGGGGUCAGCGCAAGCGAAGCUCCUGAUCGAAGCCCCGGUAAACGGCGGCCGUAACUAUAACGGUCCUAAGGUAGCGAAAUUCCUUGUCGGGUAAGUUCCGACCUGCACGAAUGGCGUAAUGAUGGCCAGGCUGUCUCCACCCGAGACUCAGUGAAAUUGAACUCGCUGUGAAGAUGCAGUGUACCCGCGGCAAGACGGAAAGACCCCGUGAACCUUUACUAUAGCUUGACACUGAACAUUGAGCCUUGAUGUGUAGGAUAGGUGGGAGGCUUUGAAGCGUGGACGCCAGUCUGCGUGGAGCCGGCCUUGAAAUACCACCCUUUAAUGUUUGAUGUUCUAACGUGGACCCGUGAUCCGGGUUGCGGACAGUGUCUGGUGGGUAGUUUGACUGGGGCGGUCUCCUCCUAAAGAGUAACGGAGGAGCACGAAGGUUGGCUAAUCCUGGUCGGACAUCAGGAGGUUAGUGCAAUGGCAUAAGCCAGCUUGACUGCGAGCGUGACGGCGCGAGCAGGUGCGAAAGCAGGUCAUAGUGAUCCGGUGGUUCUGAAUGGAAGGGCCAUCGCUCAACGGAUAAAAGGUACUCCGGGGAUAACAGGCUGAUACCGCCCAAGAGUUCAUAUCGACGGCGGUGUUUGGCACCUCGAUGUCGGCUCAUCACAUCCUGGGGCUGAAGUAGGUCCCAAGGGUAUGGCUGUUCGCCAUUUAAAGUGGUACGCGAGCUGGGUUUAGAACGUCGUGAGACAGUUCGGUCCCUAUCUGCCGUGGGCGCUGGAGAACUGAGGGGGGCUGCUCCUAGUACGAGAGGACCGGAGUGGACGCAUCACUGGUGUUCGGGUUGUCAUGCCAAUGGCACUGCCCGGUAGCUAAAUGCGGAAGAGAUAAGUGCUGAAAGCAUCUAAGCACGAAACUUGCCCCGAGAUGAGUUCUCCCUGAGACUUAAAGUCUCCUGAAGGAACGUUGAAGACGACGACGUUGAUAGGCCGGGUGUGUAAGCGCAGCGAUGCGUUGAGCUAACCGGUACUAAUGAACCGUGAGGCUUAACC